UACGUAGGGUGCAAGCGUUGUCCGGAAUUAUUGGGCGUAAAGAGCUCGUAGGCGGUCUGUCGCGUCGGAUGUGAAAAUCCAGGGCUCAACCCUGGACCUGCAUUCGAUACGGGCAGACUAGAGUUCGGCAGGGGAGACUGGAAUUCCUGGUGUAGCGGUGAAAUGCGCAGAUAUCAGGAGGAACACCGGUGGCGAAGGCGGGUCUCUGGGCCGAAACUGACGCUGAGGAGCGAAAGCAUGGGGAGCGAACAGG
rnacentral:rRNA from 1 species